GAUUCCGGACGUACACUCAGCACUGAGUCGGUGCCGGACGCUGGACUACCCUCGCUGACCCCCGGCCGGCCGACGCAGCAGCGACUUGAAGAGUUACUUAAAUUAUUACGCAUCAGCGCUUCCACACACAUCGUAAAUGAUUGGCCGAAGCUAGGUGAGGACUUCUAUCGAAGCUCGGACACGAGUUUAGACGAAAACAGCAUAUAUCGGCGAGUGCCGAUGGGCUAUUUACAAAGAGUGAACAGGAUAAUCAAAUCUCGCUGCGAGGAAGGUACGGCAGUGACGUUUGUUCAGCUGCCACAGCCUCCCAAACUGUCUCCCACUCCGACCGAAGAUGAGGCUAUCUGCGACCAUUAUUUGGCGGUAUUAGACGAGUUUACAAGGGAUCUCUCCCCGACGAUACUUGUACGUGGAUUAAAGUCUGUCACCUCGACCUCACUGUGAGCAGACUACUAAAGAAAAAGAAAAAUUAAAGUCGGAUUGAUAUAUUCAGAAAACUGUUCGUUUUGCAAACGAUCCGUUAAAUUUCGAAUAAGACGUUUUAUAAAUUAAAUUACCAAAACGAAUCGUUUUUUUGGUAUAGCAAUCCGACGGUAGUUGCCCGAAAUAUUGCUGAAAGAUUGGGCACCAAUGUAUGUAACUCUAAGUUAAUAGUUAAAAAGUCUGGAUCUGUUGGGUUAGAAUUAUUGAUGUACCAAAUUUAAUUAUUAUUGUAGAAAACAUAGGGUGCAAGUGGGAUAUACCUUCUAAAAUGUAUAUGUAUUGUAAUGUGUGGUACAUAAGAGUUAUAUAAAUGUUAGAUAAUGUGUGACAAAUCUUUGUGCAUAGUUCUGAAAAGUAAAAAAUCCAGACAAUUAAGUACUGAAUGUAUCUUCUCGGUGUUCUGAUUUGUCUAAAAACUUUUGUCAAUUAUUACUAAUCUUUGUCCAGAAAUUCAAAUAAAACUUGGGUGACCUAGAGUCUGAAUUAGAUAAAUUAUAUUUUAUACAAAAAAAAUAUACUGUAGAAUUUUUAAAAUAUCAUAUAUUUAUUUGAUUUUUACUGUCUGCUAUGGAAAAUGUUUUUAGAACUCUUUAUUUUGUCUUUUAGGCAUUGUUUUAUUAAUAUUUGACUGUGUGUAACACAAACGGUGCGACGCUUAAACGUUGACUUCAAAGUAUUAUUGACAUUUUAUUUUAUUAUAUACUGGUUCCUAUAUUCAAAAAAUUAUUCCGUUUUGUUGAACGAACCGUCGUUCGUAAUCAAACUAAUCGUUUUAUGGAUAUUGGAAUCGGGUAUUAGAAAAUUUCGCCUAAAAGGCACUAGCUGAUAAGAUUAUUUUUAAAAUCGUCUUUUAUAGUUGGUAUUCUUUGAUAUAAUUUUUGACAAUGUAAAUAAAUAAUGACAAUGUACAUCGUAGAAAUAUUAAAACGAUAAGGAAUUAUGAAAUUCGUUGAUCUCCUUCGUGUAUUCUCUACUUCGUUACACUGGCGGUAACAACGGUGCUUCGCUGGCACAACUGUAACCCAUUAUACACUUAUCAAUCAAUCAAUUAUACAAUUUUGACAUAUAUUUGGGAUUGAGGAUACCAGCAAUGAAACGAAGUAUCACUUUAACACAUUUAUUUUACUAAAAUUAUACCUAAAUCACCGUGUACCCGCUCGCUCGUCAACCCUCUCUCGAUUCAAAUCUAUCAUGACCGAACAUCCGCUAUCUCUUUCACCCAUUCUUCCUUUCAUUCACACUUCACAGAUUAACUAAUUAAAUCAUUCACAUUCAAUAAUCAUUCCACAUUUACAUAAACAUAUCUUUUUUUAUUAAUUAUUUACAAAGUAAUUUUUUCCUUAUAUCACGUAAAAGUGAUGAUUUGAAUCGAAUUUGUAAGUUAAUUCGCUAAACUCCUCUAUUUAUGGUCUGGCAUAUCACUAGUUAUUCAGCAUCAUUCACUACUUAUUACCUCCUACUUUCUGUUUCCUCUUUCACUACUACCUAUAUACGAGCAUAUUUUUUUUUUUUGGAUUUUGGACACUUAAAUAACUCGCAUUAACAAUAAUUAAUCCCGAAUAUCAAAUGUACUACUUGUCUGUUGUACGUUUUGUCUUUCUCCGAUGUAUCUAUUACUAUGUAAGUAUGAGUGUUCGUAGUUAAAAAGGUUUUUCGGAUUAACGAAACUUUAUUAAACUUUCAUGUGUGUGAUAAUACAUUUACACAUGAGGAAAUGUAUCUGAUAGUUUUAUAUUUUAAUAAUAAUAAAAAACAACUUACCAAUGACAAGCUUAAGUGUGAUAAAAAGUGGAUUGAGAUUAUUAAUGAACAGUCGUAAUAUAUUGAUACCUAUUAUUACAAAGUCCACUAAAAAUUCAAGUCAGUCUUAAAACCUAUUUUAACUACGAAAACUUAUACUGAAGAUGUUUUUAUGCAAAAUAUUUUAAGGCACACUAAAAUGUUUAUUAUUGAUUAUUAUUAUUUAAGUUUCAGUUACACUUUGUGUUAUUGUAAUGUAGCAAUAAUUAUUUUAAUAUAAAAAUUGACACUUUUAAACAUAUUGAUUAGUAUUAUAAUAAGUUUUAAGCGACACUUAUGACAUUUAUUUUAUUUUUUAUUUUAUUUAUGAAGAAAACAUACAUCUUGCAAUUACACAUAUGAACAACAAUUACACAUAUUAAACUAGAAAAUUUAUAAGCCAAUUAAGUUUUCACUUAUUACAUCUGACAAAUAUUAAUUGGGCAAACUUUAAAAUUGUACAAACAAUACAAACUUUGUUUUUUUUUUUUUUGUAACACAACAUUAUAUACGAUACAGAAUUACAGUAACAGUAAUUUGUGAUAAUCACAGUUCAUUUAAUUAAUUUAAUUACUUGAUCACAGUUUUAAAUAUAUUAGGUUUUAAAUGACAUUUAUAAAGAAAUUAUAUUUUAUUUAAGAAAAAAAUAAACAUCAAUAAAUUAUAAUACGCCUCCCUAUAUCUAACAAAUCGACUAUUUGGUUUUUGACUUUUAUUUCACCCUAUCAUAUUUAGAUAAUACAUACUAUGUCCUUGGAUUUUUGAUAUUUUAUUUUUAAGUAUUCAUACAACAAGAUUAAUUUCAAAACUAGUUUAGUCUUCUUUUCUAUAAUCGAUACAAAUAAAUAAAAUUGGAGUGUCUGUUUGUAAUAUUAAAAUAACUGUUUUUUACUAAAUGCAUAUGAAUGUUACAUAUCAUUUUUUUUAAAUAUUUGUCCGUCUGUCUGUCUGACUGUCUGUUCCGGCUAAUCUCUGAAACGGCUGGCCCGAUUUCGACGAGACUUUUACUGACAGAUAGCUGAUAUAGUAAGGAGUAACUUAGGCCACUUUUAUUUUAGAAAUUUCUUUAUUUUAUAAUACUGCGAACUCAUUCCAUCAAUAGAAGCGUCUGCUAUGUUGUUAAAAUAAUUUGUAAUUUGGAGAUGACCAUUAUGGAAAAUCACGUUUUUGAAAUAUCUAAAUAUUAUUUUACUACUGUUAGCCUACUAAACCUGUAUACUUUAUCAAUAUCGCUUAAUUAAUCUCUUUUGAAUACCUAUUAUAGAUCGAAUUGGUACAGUAUUCCUUGAAGAUGUAAGCUUAAUAUUAAUAUUUUUUAAUUAUUAGUAACCUGACAUUAUUAUGGAUUUUAUAAUCAGACAAACAAAAUAAAAAAAAGAAUCCGACAAAAACUAGUAUUUUGAUUAAUUGUAAAAUUUAUCAUGCAGGUAAUAACGGUAGAAAUAUGUUUUUUUUUUUUUUUAUAUAACUAGGUCUGCAAACAAGUGGACGACUCACUUGACGGUAAGCGAUUACCGUAACUUAUAGACGUCUGCAACAUUAGAAAUAUCGCAGGCGCGUUGCCAAUCCUAUCCCCAAUCCCCCCAAGUGCUUUGAUCACCUUACUCACCACAGGAACAUAACAUUGCUUGAAAGCAGUACUAUUUGAGUAUUUUUAUUUGAUAUGCUGUGAUCUUCUGUAAGGUCGAGAGGUACUUCCCCGGUCGGGCUGAGUAGCAUAAUUCCUGCUGUGUCCUACCACCGUUAAGUUUGGUAUUUAAAUUAACAUUCUUUUAGUUUCAACAAAUGUAGAAUGUAAAAAGUGUAGACGUUUCCUACUCAUUAUUAUAAUCGUAUAAUUGAAUGGAUCUGUGUCAAUGUCUUAAGGAUUUGUAAACCAAUUUUAAUGUAUUUAGCCAAUGAUUUUAAGUAUGUAAAUCUCACAAGCCAAUAAAAGUACUGUGUUUUAAAUUUAUUUUAUUGUUAUAUCCUUGAUAUUUUUAUUUGACUAAACAUCA
rnacentral:misc_RNA from 1 species